rnacentral:rRNA from 1 species
GACGAACGCUGGCGGCGUGCUUAACACAUGCAAGUCGAACGGAAAGGCCCCUUUGGGGGUACUCGAGUGGCGAACGGGUGAGUAACACGUGAGUAACCUGCCCUUGACUUCGGGAUAACUUCAGGAAACUGGGGCUAAUACCGGAUAGGAAUCCUUGCUGCAUGGUGGGGGUUGGAAAGCUUCGGCGGUUUUGGAUGGACUCGCGGCUUAUCAGCUUGUUGGUGGGGUAGUGGCUUACCAAGGCUUUGACGGGUAGCCGGCCUGAGAGGGCGACCGGCCACAUUGGGACUGAGAGACGGCCCAGACUCCUACGGGAGGCAGCAGUGGGGAAUAUUGCACAAUGGGCGGAAGCCUGAUGCAGCAACGCCGCGUGCGGGAUGACGGCCUUCGGGCUGUAAACCGCUUUCAGCAGGGGCGAAGCUUGUGGUGACGGUACCUGCAGAAGAAGCACCGGCUAACUACGUG